rnacentral:lncRNA from 1 species
GGAAGGAUUUUCUCUUUUUCCGUUCAUGAUUCGAUAUUCUGGUGUCCUAAAAAACAAGUAAGCGUAAUUCCCCCUAAACAAUAAAAUAUAUUCACAUGGCGUUAAUCCUUUUUUUUUAAUAUAGUAUAGAUAGAACUUUUCCGAGAAGGUUUUAUUGAAAACGUUAUCUUUUGAAUACAGGGUUCCAAUUUUCAGAAUUUCUCAGGCAAAAUUUUGUCGACUGUUUUGUUGAAAUGAUCAUAUGCAUCGCAAUGGGCUUUCAGGGAGAGGUAGCCACUCUUCAUCGUCUUUGGAAUUGAAAUCAAAUGUCAAAAGAAUAGCGCAGUAAACAAUCACAAGUAUAUAAUCAUAUUAUUCAGAAAUAAAAAAUGAAGUAAAAUUCUACUGACACAGACUCUCCAUUAUUGGAAUGAAAUAACAAAGAAUUGAUUAUCUAAAUUGAAAGAAUCCCAGAACCCGACUCAAAUCGAAGUUUUUUUUCACAUAUCUAUUAUAAGUAACAGUGGCAGGAAAUAAGAUUGUUAGAUCUCUAAAAGUUGAAAUUAAUCAACUUAUAACAGAGAUAAUCUUGUUCCAACAGGGAAGUAAGACACUGGAAUUGCUGCACUUUUCGCCUUCUUCUUUGUUUUCUGCUCUUGCACUUUGGAUAGGGUACUACUAACUUCUUGUUCGCAUGCUGCAACCCGCUUUGAAUCCAAAAAGCAAACAAAAACAUUCGAAAAGAAGGCCAUGAUUAUUUCCCAGAUGAGUUAAGAGGUUCAAGAAAUAUGAAGAUUGUUAACCAGGAAUAUCAAUUAGUGCUUGUCUUUCAAGUUUGUGUAGAUUUCUUGGAUUCUUUCCCCAUUUAUAGACACAAAACAAGCACGUUUUCUUGAUUCCCAUGGCCUGCAAAUUAAUGGGAAAUUGGUCGAGAAGCUUCUUCUUGCAAUUCCUGGAAGCUUUGCGAUUGGCUGAUUCUGGACCGAUUAUGUCACUUACAGGAACCACGAGUAAUUACUGUAGCCUAAAUAGCGACAAGUGAAGGGGUUUCGAAAUUACAAUAUUUGUGCUGUAAGACUAUUCAAGAAUGGCUUCAAGUAACACGUUAUGCCAAUGACCAUAAGAAAUAUGGGGACAAUAUUCGUCAUAC